GACGAACGCUGGCGGCGUGCUUAACACAUGCAAGUCGAACGGAAAGGCCCUGCUUUUGUGGGGUGCUCGAGUGGCGAACGGGUGAGUAACACGUGAGUAACCUGCCCUUGACUUUGGGAUAACUUCAGGAAACUGGGGCUAAUACCGGAUAGGAGCUCCUGCUGCAUGGUGGGGGUUGGAAAGUUUCGGCGGUUGGGGAUGGACUCGCGGCUUAUCAGCUUGUUGGUGGGGUAGUGGCUUACCAAGGCUUUGACGGGUAGCCGGCCUGAGAGGGUGGCCGGCCACAUUGGGACUGAGAUAGGGCCCAGACUCCUACGGGAGGCAACGGUGGGGAAUAUUGCACAGUGGGCGGGAGCCUGAUGCAGCAGCGCCGCGUGCGGGAUGACGGCCUUCGGGUUAUAAACCGCUUUCGCCUGUGACGAAGCGUGAGUGACGGUAAUGGGUAAAGAAGCACCGGCUAACUACGUG
rnacentral:rRNA from 1 species